rnacentral:misc_RNA from 1 species
GUGCAUGAAAAAGGUAACUUCAGGAGGCCAUGAAAUUAGAAUGAGAUAAGAUAGCACAAAAUAAUGGGAGUGAUUCUAACCAGAUUCAAAGAGUUGCUUGGAAAGGGAAAAAGUAUAAAAACGGUAGCUUUAAAAAUUAGAUUCUUGUCAAAAUCAAAAGACAUGGUGUUAAGUAAUUAUGUGAUUGAAAUAUUUAGUUAAUCCAUUUUGUGGUUUAAAAUUUUUAUGAACUAAGUGAAACACAUUUGAUGUAGAACCAAUAGAACAA